rnacentral:misc_RNA from 1 species
UCUCCGUUGGUGAACCAGCGGAGGGAUCAUUACAGAGUUGAAAAACUCCAACCCCUGUGAACCUACCUUUACUGUUGCUUCGGCGGACGAUGGCCCCCCGGGCCGGAAGCCGCCGGAGGACCCCUAAACUCUGUUUCUAUAUGUAACUUCUGAGUAAAACCAUAAAUAAAUCAAAACUUUCAACAACGGAUCUCUUGGUUCUG